rnacentral:rRNA from 1 species
AGUGAACGCUAGCGGCAGGCCUAACACAUGCAAGUCGAGCGGCAGCGCGUCCGACCACCCUCGGGUGGUCGGAUGGCGGCGAGCGGCGGACGGGUGAGGAAUGCAUCGGAAUCUGCCUCGUUGUGGGGGAUAACGUAGGGAAACUUACGCUAAUACCGCAUACGACCUACGGGUGAAAGUGGGGGACCUUCGGGCCUCACGCGAUGAGAUGAGCCGAUGCCGGAUUAGCUAGUUGGCGGGGUAAAGGCCCACCAAGGCGACGAUCCGUAGCUGGUCUGAGAGGAUGAUCAGCCACACUGGAACUGAGACACGGUCCAGACUCCUACGGGAGGCAGCAGUGGGGAAUAUUGGACAAUGGGGGCAACCCUGAUCCAGCCAUGCCGCGUGUGUGAAGAAGGCC